rnacentral:lncRNA from 1 species
ACAUGCAAAGCCGGGAGCAAAAUCAUCAAGGCUUACGGUAAAACUAAGAUCAAUGGAAAGUAUGCCAUCACAGUUAAGGACUUUGACUAUGUCAAAUAUGGUUCAACAGUGUGCAAGGCUGCCCUUUAUGCUCCACCUAAGGGUUCACCCUUCAACAUACCUACAAAGCUAAACCAAGGAACAAACUUGUACUUGAAAUCCAAAGACAAGUACGAGGUUGUGCUCAAGGCUAAGCCAUUUGCUUAUGCUUCAAAGAAACAUUUCAAAGAAUGUGAGAAGUCCAAGCCUUCACCAACUCCUUACUACUACAAAUCACCUCCACCUCCCUCACCAGUUUACAAGUAUAACUCACCACCUCCACCCGUCCAUUAUUACUCACCUCCAUAUUACUACAAGUCACCUCCUCCCCCCGUGAAAGCGGCACCAACUCCUUACUACUACAAAUCACCUCCACCUCCCGCACCAGUUUACAAGUACAACUCCCCACCUCCGCCAGUCCAUUACUAUUCACCUCCAUACACCUAUAAGUCACCUCCUCCUCCUGUGAAAGCAGCACCAACUCCUUACUACUACAAAUCACCUCCACCUCCCGCACCGGUUUACAAGUACAACUCACCACCUCCACCGGUCCAUUAUUAUUCUCCACCAUACUACUACAAGUCACCACCCCCACCAUCUCCAUCACCUCCUCCACCAUACUAUUUCAAAUACUAUUACAAGUCCCCACCUCCACCAUCACCAUCCCCUCCUCCACCUUAUUAUUACAAAUCUCCUCCUCCACCAAAACAAAUUUCACACCCUCCAUACUACUAUAAGUCACCACCCCCACCAUCACCAUCACCUCCUCCACCAUACUAUUAUAAGUCUCCACCUCCACCAUCACCAUCUCCCCCACCACCUUAUUAUUAUAAGUCACCACCCCCACCAUCCCCGUCCCCUCCUCCACCAUACUACUACAAGUCUCCACCUCCACCUAAAGAAAUAUCACAUCCUCCAUAUAACUAUAAGUCACCACCCCCACCAUCACCAUCCCCUCCCCCUCCAUACUAUUACAAAUCUCCUCCACCACCAUCACCAUCACCACCACCUCCCUACUAUUACAAAUCACCUCCACCACCAUCACCAUCACCUCCCCCUCCAUACUAUUACAAAUCUCCUCCACCACCAUCACCAUCACCACCACCUCCUUACUAUUACAAAUCACCUCCACCACCAUCCCCAUCACCACCACCUCCAUACUACUACAAAAGUCCCCCUCCACCAUCUCCAUCUCCUCCAUCCCCAUAUUACUACAAAUCUCCACCACCACCAUCACCAUCCCCACCCCCUCCCUACUAUUACAAAUCACCUCCACCUCCCUCACCAUCACCGCCACCUCCUUACUAUUACAAAUCUCCCCCACCUCCAUCUCCAUCUCCACCACCUCCUUAUCACUAUCAAAGUCCUCCUCCCCCAUCUCCCAUUUCUCAUCCUCCCAACUACUACAAAUCCCCUCCACCACCAUCGCCAUCUCCUCCACCUCCAUACCAUUACGUGAGUCCUCCCCCACCAGUAAAGUCACCUCCACCACCAGCUUACAUCUAUGCUUCUCCACCACCACCAAUCUACAACUAGCCUCACAACACCAAAUCACCAUUGGUGAUAAAUUAUGUAAGUUUACCAUUAUUGCAAUCAUAACACUUGCAUCUUUUCCCACCCAUACACACACAUAUCACAUGUUUAAAUUUUAUGUACUAAUCAACAAAAACUCUUAUUUGUUUUCAGGUUCUAGUUUUCAUCAAGGAAUAAAGUCGUCCAUUUGGAGCAAAGUGAAACAACUAGCUCUCUGUCCAAAUUAUUUGAUGGCCAUCUUGCACUUCCUAAUCUUAUUGUGUUCAAGUGACUGGCUAAUCAAAAUGUGGAAGCGAGAUUAAUUUAUUUAUUAUCUCUUUGAUUUAUAUGUGCAUAGAUUGAUAUUUCCCUGUAUGAUAACUUUAUUUUUAUUGAGGAUUUUUUGUAUUGUACCCUGUUGUGUUUGUUAAAAUAAGUAUUAUCAAUGAAGAAUUACCUUCAAUUUCUUUCCACCUAAUUAGUUCUUGUUUCUUUUAAACAACUAUCAAGCAUGUCAGCAAGGCAAAGCAUACCACUACCACCAUAUCACCAUAAAAUGCAUCAUUAUUCAUUGCAUAUGAGAUAAAUAUAUGCAAACUAUAUCUAAUUAUUAAGAGGGGGAAAAAACUAAUGUACAGAAAAUGUACCUCAAGGCUUCAGGAUAGGUGUUAGAAACCCAAGCUUUUAAUAGCUCUCUCCAAGAAUCCUCGUUUCUACAACUUAAGUUCCUAUAUUAAUCAAUUAUAAUAUAUGAGAAACUUAUGUUGUCGACCAACAAUACAGGUGACUCAAAAAAAUAUUAUAUUUUAAAAGUCAAACCUUGAGCUAUACACAUGUAAGCAUCAUCAAUAUAAGUUUCACCAUUGUUCAUGUGUAUUAUUCCAUAAAUUUUGGCUCAGUUGAGGUUACUACACUGGUUUUCUUCCUAUUGUAUCAUAUAUUUAAAUACUAUGGUGCGUUUGGAUAAACAGCUUAUGUCACAAGCACUUAUCAUGAUAAGCGCUUUUGUAUAAACUUGCAUGAGUUAUUUUCAUAUCAAAAGAUAAACAAGAACAUUAAAUUGUUUUUGUAUAUUACUUAAGUUGUUUUCAUAAGCUAUGUUGAAGAACUAAUGAAAAUUAGCUGAAAAAAGCUUAUGCUGUUUUCAUGAAUUCUCCCUAACAGUCUCACAAUAUUUAUGUCAGUAUAUAAUCAAAUAAGUCAAUCCAAACAGGCCCCACGUCUUCUAUAUUAGACCAUAUGACAAUUUCUUUUCGGUUUAUUCUCAUUAAAAGUUAAAAAUGGUGUAUUUGAAUCCUAUAAUUCUUUGUCAUACAAGUGCAUUCAAAUACAAUUUGAAGCCAUGGUGAAAGUGUUUAAUUUGCAGAGCUCACCAACAUAAUCUAACGUAUAUUUGGAUUGACUUAUUUGAACUUAUCUACUAGCACAAAUACUUGUGAGAUUGUUUACGAAAGUUUAUGGAAAAAACUUACAACACACACAUAAGUUGUUUUCAGCUUAUUUCCAUAAACUCUUCAAAAUAGCUUAUGAAACAACUUAUAUGAUAAGAGCUUAUUCUAUAAGCGCUUAAUUAAGUUUUAAUCCAUUCUUCUUCUACCUUCAUCUUCAGUUAACAAAACGAAUACAAUUUCUGAAAAUUCAAAGUUCAAACACCAAAAAAUACCUAAAAUGAAAAAUUGUUGAAUGAAAGCGCAAAUAGAACCUGGCAAUGCGUUCGAGAAGCACGUGGAGGAGGUGGCGUGGCAGAAGAAUGUGUGGAUUUCAUCGGAGAAUUUCAGUUCUGCUCGCGCCAUUUAAGAAAUUUUGUAAACUUAAAGUUUAGUUUAAGUUUACCCCUCUUUUUUUUUCAUUUUAAAGGAGUUUACCCUACAAAUUUUUGUAUGUUUUUGCCACGUUUACAAAUGAUUUAAUAUGUUUUUAUCCUAUAUAUAUUUAGGGAUGUAAAUGGAUAUUAUGAUGCGGAUAGUGUAAUAUUUGUGUCUGUUCCAUUGGAUAAAUAUGAAAUCUGUACCAUAUUCAUAUCGUACGGAUAUCUGUUUAGCGGGUAAUCCACAGAUUUUGAGAUAUUUGAGUGUUUAUAGAUAUAUUCAUUGAUAACAUUUAUAAAAAUAAAAUAAAAAAUUUGUUUAAUUCUUUUUAGAGACAAAGGUUCUUCAUAUGCAUUUUCUUUUCUUUUUAACAAAACAUAAUAUUCAUACAUUAUAAUAACAACAAAGAUCAUUGACUCAACAAAAACAUAAAUAAAGUUGCUUACAUUUAAUAAAAAUAAAGUUAUUUGAUUUAACAAAAACAAAGCUCUUGCAUCAACAAUCCCAACCACUUUCACUUCCUUUUAAAAGAGUGUAAUAACAAAUAACACUCACAAUACAUAAGGUUUUUUUUUAGGAAGUUGAAUGAUAUUAAGGUUAUUUAUGUAAUUUACUCGGUUUAAUAGUCGGUAUGGAUAUCCACGGGUGUGGAUACCGUUAAAUCCGCAUCCAUAUCCAUUAAUUAGCAGGUAGUUAAAAAAUUCAUUUAUUUUAUCCAUUGAUAUCCAUUAAGGUAUCCGCUCCGUGCCCGUGACGGAUUAUAUCCGCGGAUAUUCACGGGUGCGAAUUUUUUUGUCAUCCCUAUAUAUAUAUAUUAGUCUUAAACUUGACUAUUUUUUAUUAUCAUUUGGUGCUAUAAUUAAAAAAAAAAAAAAAAUAUUGUUCGUCUGAGCCAUUUAGCUACAGGCUAUUACUUUUCUCAUUCUACAUGUUUCUCGCUUGUCCUAUUUUUUUUUUAAUACUUUUUGCUCGAAUUCUAAAAUCUAAACUCCUAUAGGGAUUUUUGGAUUCUAUAAUCCAAAACACGUUGAAACCCAAAAAUAAAAUAAAAAACUAUGUAAUUGAAAUCAAAGAUCUCUACUGCUAAUGCACGUUUUCCACAAAAACUACAAAGUAAUUUCAAAGUAAUUUCACAAAAACUAUCGUAUGAAUAGACAGCAAUGAGCAUGAUAUCAUAAAUAACUCAAAACUUUAUAAAAAUAAAAAUAAAAAAAUGAAUAAGAAGAUGUGAAGAAUGAAUGUAAACGUUGGAGGAUACAAAGCUAUUUAUAGACAUAAAAUGUUCCUAGACUCUAAAGUGGGUCAAAGAAAACAUGAAUAACAUUUACAACUUAAUUAACACAUCACAGAUCAUUCAAACCUUUGGUGUAACAUCAUCGUAUGUAGUCUGGCACAGUUUGGAUUAUACAAUCUGAACAUUUCAUAAGCAGUUUGGAUUAUAUAAUUUGAACUAUCCCAGACUGUGUUUCAGCUUGAUGUUUGGAGGGUUUUGUAUGGUGGAUAACACAAAAAAAUGACAUAAUUCAACAACGUAAAAAAUAUAAUAAGAUAAGUGAUGAUGAAAGGGAAGCCGCACCAAGAGGUGUUUUUGAAUUCGAUCCAGUUGUCCUAUCAACUGACAUAUAUUUCUAUUGGCAUGGCAGCAAGAUCAAGUUUCAAAACGACCUUUUUGUGUUCAUAUCCGCAAAAUAAUGAUGAAAGGCAAGGUAUUCCAAGAAGUGUUUUUUAACUUGAUCUCGCUACCUUGUCAACUAACAUAUUUCUAUAGACAGUGCAGCAAGAUCAAAUUUAUAACAACCUCUAGGUGUUCAUAUCCGCUAAGUAAUUUUUCGUAGUUCUUUAUUGUGAUCUACAAAAAAAAAAAAAAAAAAGAUCUAUUUAUAUAAGUUUAUGUGCGUCGCGAACCAGAUAAAUUUUCGAUGCAUUGUGGACCAAAAAAAAAUUCUAAUUCGGACUAAACAAGAUGAAUUUUCCUUCACCCUAGAAAGUAAAAGUUUUGACAAACACAAGACUGAUUAUACAUUAAAUACAACAAUCAGCCAAACUAAACAUAUUAGAUCACAAAUCUUUCAAACUAACUUCUUCAUUGGAUUCCUCCAAGAGAGCCUUGAUUUAUUUGUAUGUUCUAGGCCGAAUCAAUUUUUUUUAAUAUCUUUGAAAGGGCCCGACCAAGAAAACAUCCAACUCAAUUGGUCAUUUAAUACCGUACUGACCAAAUAUUAAAACAUUAUUCUCUUAUCGCAUUGUUCCUGAGUUUAAUCUAGGUAAACUAGAUGCUUUCAUCUUAGCCAAUCGAUGGACUUUGAUGCUCAACAUUGUCCAUCCUUCUUGUGUCUGUGUUGUUGAGUCGACGGUUGAUUUAGUCCAGCUAAUAUUGGACUUUCCCCCAUUGUAGUAAACUACAGUUAGUUUGGUGUCAGAUCAAUGAUUGAAGUGUUCAUGAUUAUUUGGUGUGGUUUAUAGCAAAUGAAAACAAGCACACCAAUUUAUAGAAGUUUAUGUGCGCCGCGGACUACAAUAACUAUUGGUGCAAUGAAGACCAUAGAAAAAGCAUGUACUUGGCUGAUUUGGAUUAUAUAAUUUACAUUGUCCCUCACCCUACAAAGUACAAAUUUCAACACAAUAUUGAACCAAUUCGGAUUAUAGAAUCCAAUCAUUUAUGAGAUAAUUUCGGAUUAUAUAAUUAAAACUAGUUCACAAUGUGAACCGCAGCUUGGUCAGCAAGACUAACUCAUUAAAAAUGUUUUUUAAGUUGGUGAACGACGCUUGACUGGUCAGCAAGACUUGAAAACAAUUUUCGUACCAUGCAUUAAUGGACCAUUACCCUCUAUGAAAUGUACUUCACAAAUUCUCCUUCCGAAUACCCACUAAUACAUCACAAAUUCUUAUUUCAUCUCACAUUCUCUCGUUCUUUUUACUUCUACAAUGUGCUUCCAUAGUUUGUGUUUCAUACAAAAAUGUUACUCUAAUAUUUUAUGGAUUGUAUGAAUGGUCAAAAGGCAAAAAUUGGCACCAUCUGUUUGGAUGUAAGGUUGAUCAUCAAAGUCUAAUCCACUAAGAGAGGAAACAAACCUUACCCCAACCUCAUUCCCCAUUCAUCUUCUUGCACCGCAUGUUUAAAUGAUACUCCCUCCGGUCCUAUUUAUAAGAGAAAGUUAGGUCAACAAAAGUUGAUGUAUCUGAACUGAAUUUUUAACCGGAUACAUCAACUUUUGUUGACCCAAAUUUCUCUUAUAAAUAGGACCGGAGGGAGUAUUUGUACAACCAUUUUGGUACAACUUUUGUACAACUUUCUCUCUCAUACUCACAUUAUGUUUUUAUUCUCUCUCUUACUUUUUUUCUCUCCAUUGUGGUUGACCAAUAAGAAGGGAGAAUAUCAAGGUUGUCACAAAAAUUGUAACAAAAGAGUUGUUCAAAUAUCAUUACUCUUAUCAUUAUGUGUUAAAUAAUUUUGUGUAAUAAGCUUCAAUGACAAUGUAAAUAUACAAUAAAAGAUAUAAAUUAUUCAUAAAAUGAAAAUUUUAUUCAUUUAUCUUUUUAUAUUUUUGUCUCUUUUAGUUUCAGUCAUUUUCAAUUAUGCAUUCUUAAUAUUAUGUCAAUGUUGAUCAAUAAUUAUUGGCAAAAGAAGUUUUCAUGUUAUAGAAUAUGAAAAUCCCUGGUACCAAAAAAAAAAAAAAUCUGAAAAUCCCUCUAUAGGAUUUCAGAUUUUAGAAUCCGACCAAAUGGUAUUUUGAAGAGAGAAAAAUAGUGUGUCUAAGUAACUCAUGUUGAGAAAAGUAAUAGCCUUAAUUAUGUCUCCGAUAAACAUUUUAUUCCCUUCCGUUAAUCAGUUAAUCCCAAAUGUCUAAGGUGAACCAAUAUUAUAGGUGGUCUACCAUAAACCUCAUAACAAUUUUAAGGUCAAAUACCACUUUUGGUCAUUUUAGUUUGACAGAAUUCUCAAGUUAGUCAUUUAAGUUUCGAAAGUUUCAAUUAGGUCCUUUUAGUUUGACAGAAUUCCCAAGUUAAUCCUUUAAGUCAUAAAAUUCAGGGGAGCAAAGUAGAUACUCCAGUUUUCAGAGGCGGAGACAUAGUCAUGUCAAAAGCAUCCCACAUCCUAUUACCACCUACUUGAACUCAUCAAGCUUGGUAUGGACCAUUCACAGUAACAUGUGUAUGUAGUCUCGUGGAGAUCUGGGACAAUAUCAAAUGGCAUGCUAAGGUGAAUCGACACAAACUGAAGCAUGUUAAAGAUUGCAUCCGGAAAAUGAAAGUUGAAGAAGAUGAACCUGCUUUGAAGAGGUUCAAGGGCACAACAUAGACUUAUUCUCCAUGUUCAAGAUGUAAAACACGCAUUGAACGAGAGACAACCCAUUAAUUUAUUUUCUCCGUUAUUUGUCUUGUGUCAUUUUUGCUCGAAUUUUUUGCCGUCAAUUCUUUAUGAAUUAUCAGUCAUAUUAUAUUACACACUAGACAAUUUUUUUGGUACCUUGAGCCUUUUCAAUCCGCCCUUAUCAUCAUUAUAUCCUUUGCUAAAUCCCUUUGAGCUUCCAUGCAUUAUUUCUUUUGUUUUUUUUAUUAAGUAACAAAUCAUGUCACAAGUUUGAACUUUUAAUGCCAUCUAUUUGAUUUCUUUUAUAGUUAGAUAGAAUAUUUUUAAGAACUUGGUAUGAUUUGAAUAUAUGUUAGGGUUAUAAGGGAGAAAUGUAAUGGCAAAGAGGAAGAGCAAGAAAAGAGAUGAAAGAUGAAGGGACAUUAGGCAGACUCAAUCACGGUAGUUAGAAUGAUUGCCUUCUGUUUUGCAGUAAUUUGCAUGAGCUUCACUUUUCAAGUAGAGUAAAAAAAACAGGAAUAGAUAGACACAUUUCUUCUAAGUUUGAGUAGUGAGUGAUAACACUUCUAUGUAAUCCCUAAAAAAAAACACUUCUAUGUAAAAAAAUCACAUGGGAAAUCCAUUCCUAUAGUACACGUAAUUUUGAUCUGGAAGGUUGACUUUUCAACAAAAUAACCUAAAAUAAUUUGUUCAUAACAUAAUAGAGGAAUCUAGAAGUGUUCGCGGUGCGGUUUGAUUCGGUUUUGAGCAAAAAAGUCAUCCAAACCGCGCGAUAAAAAAACAUGUGGUUUGGUUCGGUUGAUUUUUAAAAAAUCAUCCAAACCAAACCAAACUAAACCAAUACGGUUUGGAUUGGUUCGGUUUGUGCGGUUUAUCGCGAGAUAAAAAAAAAAUAUUACAUUAACUCUAAUAUUUCCAAAUUGUUACAAAAUAAACAUAGAACGUUUUUUUAUUUAUUUUUAUAUGAUAAAAUAUUAGGUAAAACUCAUAUCAAAAUAGGUAAAAUUAAGAAGAAUUUAUAAGCAUGAAACAAAUUAUUGGAAAGUAAAGGAAACAAAUUUAAGUAAUAUUCAUUAUUCUUGCAGCUAUGUAAUUGGGCUAGAAACAUUUUAUUUUGAUGUUUAUAUCGAACAUGAUGGUGCAACAAUGGAAAAAUCAAAUCAAAAAAGAUUAUUCUUGAGCUAUGUAAUUGAGCUAGUACAUAUUUAAGUAAUAUUCAUUAUUCUUGCGGUUUGGUUUGGUUUGAUUCGGUUGCUGAGAUGCAAACCGCAAAUCAAACCAAACUGUAUGUUUUAGUGCAAAAGUCAUCUGAAUUCAUCCGAAAUCAAGUACGAUUUUUUACGAUUUUGAAUUGGUUUAAUUUGCCGUUUUUCUAUUGGAUUGGUUCGGUUUGAACGAUCUGCAUGAAUUCUUCUAGUUGAUUGUUGGACUAUUUUUAAUUGGCAAAGGCUUAGUUGUCCAUUUAUAAAUAUAAAUACUAUUAUUACAUUAUCCAAUCCAAUAGCACCAAAACCAAUAUAAUAAUGGUAAUUUGCAAUUUUGCACGUUUCAUUCAUUUAUUGGUGCCUUAAUUUUGGGUUACAGACCGACAUUGAUCAGUUGCUAAAAAACCACUGCAUCCUUAUUUUUUACGAGGUAGAUGCAUCGGACAAAUAAACCGACAAACAAAGCUAUUCAGAAAGUGCUCAGAAAUUUUUUGUGCCCCAACAGAAAAUAUUAAGAAAGUCUUGCUACACAGUGUCUUGUAUACAAGUGAAAUAUGUGUGGUAUUAUGCACAAGUUUAUUUUUACAAGUUGAUAUAAGAAUCUAAGUAUAUUUUUAUGGAAAAUUAAUGCUAACAAAUACUUUCAAAGCAUUGUUUAAGCAAUCAAUAUUAGUAACUUUUGCAUAGAAAUAUGUGUGAUUAUUAUUUUUUCAUAUGUUUUAUAUGUUUUCAAGAAAAUAUUUUUAUUUAUGGUUUUUUUAAAUAGUGUCCUUAGGUACUUGUUAGCAAAAUCUUAUUUAUAUAAGUUGAUCUAAGAAUCUCAUUAUUGUAUCGAGUGAGAUACGGCCAUACCGAAGCUUAUGGAUUCCAUAGUGGAAAAAUAACUUUUCAUCAGUGCAAUACUAUUUUAGUUGUAGAAUUUCUUUUCUUGUGUGUCCUAUUUCAGAUUUUAAAAUCCAAACAAUCGAAGGUUUAUGAAGGUUUUUCGAACAUUUUCGCACUGUUUGAAUUAUAUGAUCUGAAAUGUCAUAGAACAUGCGAGAAGCAAGUUGAAUGAAAUAAAAAACUCCUGCUCAAUAGAAUUAUUUUACUUGGUUAUUGUUUGAAUUUUAUUCUCCUUCAAAGACGGCAAUGUGCAAUUGUGCAUUUCAUCCGGAGAGUGGCAACAUCUCAUGCAUGUUCAUCUCAUAUAACUGAGAAGUCACAUGGCUUGGAAAAUCUUAAACCGAGAAAAACAAAAGGAGUAAAAGUAAUAAUAGUGAACCAAAGUGAAGAUGAACUUGUAGUCUAUCAAAAGAAGAUGAACUUGUUCGUCUUGGCAUAGUAACUCAUUUUUAUUCCUUGUUACCUAUGAAACACGGACAAUAGAUACAACACGGACACCAAUACGUUAAUACCGUUAAUAAUAUAAAAAAAUAGGUACAUUGAAUAAUUAAUGUAUUUGACCUAUAAAUGUGACCAGAUAUAUUAAUUAUUCAAUGUAUCUAAAAAGUUGGUUUUUGUUUAUAAAUAUGAUCAUAUGGAGUACUACUUUAGUGUAAUUUUAUGUAUUGGUACUGCGAGACAUCUAAUCUAAAGAGUGUCAAUGUUUUCACACAUAUUACUCACCAAAGUGCACACAUUAUAUGCAUUUAGGUAAACUGAGUUCAUCCAAAAUUGUAACCGCACAAACAGAGGGCCGCUAGGAAAUAUGAGGUAAAUUUGGAUUAUUCUUUAUCAAAAGCUUAUGACCAAAGAAAAACUAUACAAAAACUAAUGUUCAAAAAGUACAUAAAGUAAUAAUGCAAAGUCAAUGUGUAUAUAUAUUUCACCAUUAAAUAAAAGGGGAAAAAAAUCUCCAUACACAGCUUGCAAUAGCUACCAUCAUGGCCUAAAGCAAAUAUCAUAUGACCACUAAAAAACAAUAGAAAAUAAACAAAUAAAAAGAGAAAAACAAAAGAGAAAAUGGUAUAAAGAAAUCAUGUAGUAGUUAGUUUUUUCUCAAGAUGGGCAACUCAGCAGGGCUGCUAGGAGGAAAUUACAAAAGAACAUGACACUUAACUUCUCUAAUCAUUCAAAAUUUGUCAAGAUGCUGAUUAUAUAUUUUAAUUAGUAGUUAGAGAUUGUUAUAGUAACGUGUUCUAGCCAUCAAGAAUAAAACAAUGUCAUGGAAAAGAAGUGGCCUACUAGAAGAAUUAAUUUAAAGCAUUUACACCAAAAUAAAAACAAAUUGAAUAUUGGAAUUGGUCCUUCAUGAUAGCUUCCCCUUAACAACUAACUCUAACUAUAAAUACUGAAUCUUGCAUGCAACAUUUCAUAGUAAACACUAAGACCAAAACCUCUUCUUUCUAUCCAUGACUGCUAGGGCUAGUUGCCCCAAAAUGGGGCAUUUUUGGCCACAAAUGGCAAUGGCAUUGGCCAUUGUUUUGAUUUCUACUACUAUGGUUUCUGCUUCUGAUAGCUACAUUUACUCUUCGCCUCCACCACCUUAUGAGUACAAGUCCCCACCACCGCCGUCUCCCUCACCACCUCCUCCUUAUGUGUAUAAGUCACCACCUCCCCCAUCCUCGUCACCCCCACCACCAUAUGAGCACAAGGCUCCAUCUUAUGAGUACAAGUCACCACCACCACCAACUUCUUCACCACCACCUCCUUAUGUAUACAAGUCACCACCACCACCAUCUCCUUCACCGUCACCUCCUUAUGUGUACAAGUCACCACCACCUCCAUCCCCAUCACCCCCACCUCCUUACGUGUACAAGUCACCACCACCACCCUCGCCUUCCCCGCCCCCACCAUACUAUUACAAGUCUCCUCCACCACCCUCGCCUUCCCCACCGCCACCAUACUAUUACAAGAGUCCUCCACCACCCUCUCCUUCACCUCCACCUCCUUACUACUAUAAAUCGCCUCCACCACCCUCACCUUCCCCUCCCCCACCAUACUAUUACAAGUCUCCUCCACCACCAUCUCCCUCACCACCUCCUCCAUAUUACUACAAGUCUCCCACACCACCUUCACCCUCCUCUCCACCCCCAUAUAUACACAAGGAUCCACCAUACUAUUACAAGUCCCCACCACCCCCUUCACCAUCUCCUCCACCACCAUACUACUAUAAAUCUCCCCCACCACCCUCACCCUCUCCACCCCCACCUUACUAUUACAAGUCUCCUCCACCACCUUCACCAUCUCCUCCACCACCAUACUAUUACAAAUCUCCUCCUCCUCCAUCUCCUAUUCCCCAUACACCUUACUAUUACAAAUCUCCCCCACCACCUUCACCAUCUCCUCCACCACCAUACUAUUACAAAUCUCCUCCUCCUCCAUCUCCUAUUCCCCGUACACCUUACUAUUACAAAUCUCCCCCACCACCUUCACCAUCUCCUCCACCACCAUACUACUACAAAUCCCCUCCUCAUCCAUCUCCCAUUCCCCAUACACCUUACUAUUACACAUCUCCCCCACCACCUUCACCGUCUCCUCCACCACCAUAUUACUACAAAUCUCCUCCCCCUCCGUCUCCUAUUCCCCACACACCUUACUACUACAAGUCCCCACCACCACCAAAGGUCCUUCCACCACCAUACUAUUACAAUUCUCCUCCUCCACCUGUUGUGUAUCCUCACCCAUAUCCCUACCACCACUCACUUAUUGUGAGGGUAGUCGGUAAAGUCUACAGCUUCAGAUGUUAUGAUUGGAAUUAUCCUGCAAAGUCUCAUAACAAGAAACAUCUCAAAGGUACAUUACAUUUCUUAGGACCGGACCUCUUUAGAGUAAUGUGUUUAGAGAUAAUGCACAAUUUUUUAUUUUUUUAUCUCGUAAAGGUUUAUUUAUUAUAAUCACAAUUUCACUUUUGUCAAAAAGAAAAACAAUUUUACUAUAUAUAGUUUUAAUCAUUAACAUUUUGAUGUAAAAAGAAUACAAUUCUCUAUUACCUUUUUACUAUGAUAUAUAUACAAAGAUUAUUCAAAUCUAUAUAUCCAACCUAAUUUCCAUCCAAAAAAAUAGAAAACAUAGGGUGCUUUGAACGCCUGCAGCAUCACAUGAAUAAAUAAAAACAAUCAAUAAUCAACCUUGUUCUAAUUUAUUUUAGACAGCGAUUGUUAAGCAUACUGCUCUUUUAAUUACAUUUUUUUUAAAGAUGCUCUUUUAAUUAUAUUGUCCUAAUAUAAUAUGUGUCUUUAUAUAUUACUUGUCGUAAACUAAUUUUAUUAUGGGUGCAGGAGCUGUUGUUGAGGUGACAUGCAAAGCCGGGAGCAAAAUUGUCAAGGCUUAUGGAAAAACUAAGAACAAUGGAAAGUAUGCCAUCACAGUUAAGGACUUUGACUAUGUCAAAUAUGGUUCGACAGUGUGCAAGGCUACCCUUUAUGCUCCACCUAAGGGUUCACCCUUCAACAUACCUACAAAGCUAAAUCAAGGAACAAAGUUGUACUUGAAAUCCAAAGACAAGUACGAGGUUGUGCUCAAGGCUAAGCCAUUUGCUUAUGCUUCAAAGAAACAUUUCAAAGAAUGUGAGAAGCCUAAGCCUUCACCAACUCCUU